rnacentral:lncRNA from 1 species
GUCCAGAAUGGAGAUCCUGUCAAACUCGAUGAGAACGAUGAGGAUCCGAUCAUCUAUAUGGAUGCAAUAUAGAGAUCCAACUUUGAUAAAUAACUUGAAGCUAUGAUAUCUGAAAUAGAGUCCAUGAAGAUCAACGAUGUAUGGACAUUAGUUGAUCCAUCUGAAGGGGUAAAGCCCAUAGGGUGUAAGUGGGCCUUCAAGAGGAAGAGGGGUGC